rnacentral:rRNA from 1 species
GACGAACCGUGCGAACGUUGUUCGGAAUCACUGGGCUUAAAGGGCGCGUAGGCGGGCUGUCAAGUCUGGGGUGAAAUGCUGCGGCUCAACCGUAGAACUGCCUUAGAUACUGACGGCCUCGAGGAAGGUAGGGGCAUGCGGAACUGUAGGUGGAGCGGUGAAAUGCGUUGAUAUCUACAGGAACUCCGGUGGCGAAAGCGGCGUGCUGGACCUUUUCUGACGCUGAGGCGCGAAAGCUAGGGGAGCAAACGGG